AAAUUGAAGAGUUUGAUCAUGGCUCAGAUUGAACGCUGGCGGCAGGCCUAACACAUGCAAGUCGAGCGGUAGCACAGAGAGCUUGCUCUCGGGUGACGAGCGGCGGACGGGUGAGUAAUGUCUGGGAAACUGCCUGAUGGAGGGGGAUAACUACUGGAAACGGUAGCUAAUACCGCAUAAUGUCGCAAGACCAAAGUGGGGGACCUUCGGGCCUCAUGCCAUCAGAUGUGCCCAGAUGGGAUUAGCUAGUAGGUGGGGUAACGGCUCACCUAGGCGACGAUCCCUAGCUGGUCUGAGAGGAUGACCAGCCACACUGGAACUGAGACACGGUCCAGACUCCUACGGGAGGCAGCAGUGGGGAAUAUUGCACAAUGGGCGCAAGCCUGAUGCAGCCAUGCCGCGUGUGUGAAGAAGGCCUUCGGGUUGUAAAGCACUUUCAGCGGGGAGGAAGGCGGUGAGGUUAAUAACCUCACCGAUUGACGUUACCCGCAGAAGAAGCACCGGCUAACUCCGUGCCAGCAGCCGCGGUAAUACGGAGGGUGCAAGCGUUAAUCGGAAUUACUGGGCGUAAAGCGCACGCAGGCGGUCUGUCAAGUCGGAUGUGAAAUCCCCGGGCUCAACCUGGGAACUGCAUUCGAAACUGGCAGGCUAGAGUCUUGUAGAGGGGGUAGAAUUCCAGGUGUAGCGGUGAAAUGCGUAGAGAUCUGGAGGAAUACCGGUGGCGAAGGCGGCCCCCUGGACAAAGACUGACGCUCAGGUGCGAAAGCGUGGGGAGCAAACAGGAUUAGAUACCCUGGUAGUCCACGCCGUAAACGAUGUCGAUUUGGAGGUUGUGCCCUUGAGGCGUGGCUUCCGGAGCUAACGCGUUAAAUCGACCGCCUGGGGAGUACGGCCGCAAGGUUAAAACUCAAAUGAAUUGACGGGGGCCCGCACAAGCGGUGGAGCAUGUGGUUUAAUUCGAUGCAACGCGAAGAACCUUACCUGGUCUUGACAUCCACAGAACUUUCCAGAGAUGGAUUGGUGCCUUCGGGAACUGUGAGACAGGUGCUGCAUGGCUGUCGUCAGCUCGUGUUGUGAAAUGUUGGGUUAAGUCCCGCAACGAGCGCAACCCUUAUCCUUUGUUGCCAGCGGUUCGGCCGGGAACUCAAAGGAGACUGCCAGUGAUAAACUGGAGGAAGGUGGGGAUGACGUCAAGUCAUCAUGGCCCUUACGACCAGGGCUACACACGUGCUACAAUGGCAUAUACAAAGAGAAGCGACCUCGCGAGAGCAAGCGGACCUCAUAAAGUAUGUCGUAGUCCGGAUUGGAGUCUGCAACUCGACUCCAUGAAGUCGGAAUCGCUAGUAAUCGUAGAUCAGAAUGCUACGGUGAAUACGUUCCCGGGCCUUGUACACACCGCCCGUCACACCAUGGGAGUGGGUUGCAAAAGAAGUAGGUAGCUUAACCUUCGGGAGGGCGCUUACCACUUUGUGAUUCAUGACUGGGGUGAAGUCGUAACAAGGUAACCGUAGGGGAACCUGCGGUUGGAUCACCUCCUUACCUUAAAGAA
rnacentral:rRNA from 1 species